AAGCAGAAGUAACAAGGCAGUGGGACGGGGAGCCAUCGAAACCGGAGUGUUAAUGCACCAUUGAGUGAUACAUUAGUACUACUCGGUGCCUUAGCCAAUACACCAGUAAUUGUCUUUUUUUAUAAAAUGGGCCCAUUAUUCCUUCUCCUUAUAGUAGCAGAUCAGCAGCACGAUACAACGUCUCCUAAUGCUAAAGAGUCCACCAUGUGCAAGGAGAGAAGCGCAGCGGCGCUGACAUACACCGACUACAGCAGCAAUAACAAGCGCACUCACAGACUGGCUCAGGCCUGGGCACGUUAUGGCUAGCUGAGGAACAAACUUGCAAAGCACCAAAGAGAUGAAACAGAGGCAAGUGCUGUAAACUGAAGGCUUGCUGAGCUGAAGAAAAGUCACUUGAGUUGUGGUUAUUCUGGCUCAGAAGUGCUGGACCAACUACUUGGCUAAAAAAAACAUCUGUCGUAUCCCUAUAUCCUUGAAAGUUAAUUCCUCAGGCUGCUGAUCUGCAGGAAACACAUGGACAGUUCUCAAUUUCAGUUAUCCUAACAAUUAGGGAUUACAUCUCUUCCUUCCAAAUAUCAUCAUGCCUGCAUAGAUUAGGUCUUGACUUAGCCCUCAAUCUACUUUUCCCUGCUCCCUGCAUGGUGUGGCACCAUGGUUGUACUUUGUACAUAAAAUCAUUUCUUUUGUAAAAUCCUUUCCUGUUCCUUAUUGUUUGAUGAGCUGUGUAGAAAAAUCAGUAAUUACAUUUUUUAAUUCUUUUUACUCCUUCCUGUGACGGGCACCUAUUGUCUGUAUACAAUUCUCUCACCUUAACUCGCCUAAGCUGUCUGAAUACGUAGAAUAUUUGUGAAUUUAUUUAGAUUUUCCAGUAAAUCAAUGCCUAAAUAAGACCUAUGGGAUAACUAUAACUAUGUUUGGUGAGUGUUGGGUUCCUGACAGCUUGCUCUAGUGUAGGGACCUGCGGAAGCCCUCCUGCCAGGACAAAGAUGAGCUCGGGAACAAGGACACAACCUCAAGGGCAGUUUAAACUUGUUUAGUUUAUUUUUGUGUGCACAUAGCUUUUAUACCUUUUUUUUGUACGUGCAAAAUAAUAUGUUUAAACAAAGACCAUCUGUACUUCAAGA